AGAGUUUGAUCAUGGCUCAGGACGAACGCUGCGGCGUGCCUAAUACAUGCAAGUAGAACGCUGAAGAAAGGAGCUUGCUUCUUUUGGAUGAGUUGCGAACGGGUGAGUAACGCGUAGGUAACCUGCCUUGUAGCGGGGGAUAACUAUUGGAAACGAUAGCUAAUACCGCAUAACAGCUUUUGACACAUGUUAGAAGCUUGAAAGAUGCAAUUGCAUCACUACGAGAUGGACCUGCGUUGUAUUAGCUAGUAGGUAGGGUAACGGCCUACCUAGGCGACGAUACAUAGCCGACCUGAGAGGGUGAUCGGCCACACUGGGACUGAGACACGGCCCAGACUCCUACGGGAGGCAGCAGUAGGGAAUCUUCGGCAAUGGGGGCAACCCUGACCGAGCAACGCCGCGUGAGUGAAGAAGGUUUUCGGAUCGUAAAGCUCUGUUGUAAGAGAGGAACGUGUGUGAGAGUGGAAAGUUCACACAGUGACGGUAACUUACCAGAAAGGGACGGCUAACUACGUGCCAGCAGCCGCGGUAAUACGUAGGUCCCGAGCGUUGUCCGGAUUUAUUGGGCGUAAAGCGAGCGCGGGCGGUUUAAUAAGUCUGAAGUUAAAGGCAGUGGCUUAACCAUUGUUCGCUUUGGAAACUGUUAAACUUGAGUGCAGAAGGGGAGAGUGGAAUUCCAUGUGUAGCGGUGAAAUGCGUAGAUAUAUGGAGGAACACCGGUGGCGAAAGCGGCUCUCUGGUCUGUAACUGACGCUGAGGCUCGAAAGCGUGGGGAGCAAACAGGAUUAGAUACCCUGGUAGUCCACGCCGUAAACGAUGAGUGCUAGGUGUUAGGCCCUUUCCGGGGCUUAGUGCCGCAGCUAACGCAUUAAGCACUCCGCCUGGGGAGUACGACCGCAAGGUUGAAACUCAAAGGAAUUGACGG
rnacentral:rRNA from 1 species